GAUGAACGCUGGCGGCGUGCCUAAUACAUGCAAGUCGAGCGAACGGACGAGAAGCUUGCUUCUCUGAUGUUAGCGGCGGACGGGUGAGUAACACGUGGAUAACCUACCUAUAAGACUGGGAUAACUUCGGGAAACCGGAGCUAAUACCGGAUGAUAUUUUGAACCGCAUGGUUCAAAAGUGAAAGACGGUCUUGCUGUCACUUAUAGAUGGAUCCGCGCUGCAUUAGCUAGUUGGUAAGGUAACGGCUUACCAAGGCAACGAUGCAUAGCCGACCGGAGAGGGUGAUCGGCCACACUGGAACUGAGACACGGUCCAGACUCCUACGGGAGGCAGCAGUAGGGAAUCUUCCGCAAUGGGCGAAAGCCUGACGGAGCAACGCCGCGUGAGUGAUGAAGGUCUUCGGAUCGUAAAACUCUGUUGUUAGGGAAGAACAUAUGUGUAAGUAACUGUGCACAUCUUGACGGUACCUAAUCAGAAAGCCACGGCUAACUACGUG
rnacentral:rRNA from 1 species